rnacentral:rRNA from 1 species
UGGGGAAUCUUGCACAAUGGGGGCAACCCUGAUGCAGCGACGCCGCGUGAGCGAUGAAGCCCUUUGGGGCGUAAAGCUCUUUCGCCCGGAACGAUAAUGACGGUACCGGGAGAAGAAGCUGCGGCUAACUACGUGCCAGCAGCCGCGGUAAUACGUAGGCAGCAAGCGUUGUUCGGCGUUACUGGGCGUAAAGAGUGCGUAGGCGGUUUUCUAAGUUCGGUGUGAAAUCUCCCGGCUUAACUGGGAGGGUGCGCCGAAGACUGGGAAGCUGGAGUGUGGGAAAGGCAGGCGGAAUUCCUGGUGUAGCGGUGAAGUGCGUAGAUAUCAGGAGGAGCACCGGCGGUGUAGACGGCUUGCUAGACCAUAACUGACGCUGAGGCACGAAAGCGUGGGUAGCAAACA